GGGGAUCGUUAUCGGAUUAUUGGGUUUAAGGGUCCGUAGGCUGAUUUGUAAGUCAGUGGUGAAAUCUCACAGCUUAACUGUGAAACUGCCAUUGAUACUGCAAGUCUUGAGUGUUGUUGAAGUAGCUGGAAUAAGUAGUGUAGCGGUGAAAUGCAUAGAUAUUACUUAGAACACCAAUUGCGAAGGCAGGUUACUAAGCAACAACUGACGCUGAUGGACGAAAGCGUGGGGAGCGAACAGGAUUAGAUACCCUGGUAGUCCACGCCGUAAACGAUGCUAACUCGUUUUUGGGUUUUCGGAUUCAGAGACUAAGCGAAAGUGAUAAGUUAGCCACCUGGGGAGUACGAACGCAAGUUUGAAACUCAAAGGAAUUGACGGGGGCCCGCACAAGCGGUGGAUUAUGUGGUUUAAUUCGAUGAUACGCGAGGAACCUUACCAAGGCUUAAAUGGGAAAUGACAGGUUUAGAAAUAGACUUUUCUUCGGACAUUUUUCAAGGUGCUGCAUGGUUGUCGUCAGCUCGUGCCGUGAGGUGUUAGGUUAAGUCCUGCAACGAGCGCAACCCCUGUCACUAGUUGCCAUCAUUAAGUUGGGGACUCUAGUGAGACUGCCUACGCAAGUAGAGAGGAAGGUGGGGGAUGACGUCAAAUCAUCACGGCCCUUACGCCUUGGGCCACACACGUAAUACAAUGGCCGGUACAGAGGGCAGCUACACAGUGAUGUGAUGCAAAUCUCGAAAGCCGGUCUCAGUUCGGAUUGGAGUCUGCAACUCGACUCUAUGAAGCUGGAAUCGCUAGUAAUCGCGCAUCAGCCAUGGCGCGGUGAAUACGUUCCCGGGCCUUGUACACACCGCCCGUCAGCCCAUGGAAGUCUGGGGUACCUGAAGUCGGUGACCGUAACAGGAGCUGCCUAGGGUAAAACAGGUAACUAGGGCUAAUCAACAAGGGUGGGCGCUCCUGUUGUUGGGAGAAGCGGGGGGGCGUGUGUGCUUUUU
rnacentral:rRNA from 1 species